CCUACGGGUGGCAGCAGUGGGGAAUAUUGGGCAAUGGGCGCACGCCUGACCCAGCAACGCCGCGUGAAGGAAGAAGGCUUUCGGGUUGUAAACUUCUUUUCUGGGGGACGAACAAAUGACGGUACCCCAGGAAUAAGCCACGGCUAACUACGUGCCAGCAGCCGCGGUAAUACGUAGGUUGCAAGCGUUAUCUGGAUUUAUUGGGUGUAAAGGGCGUGUAGGCGGGAAUGCAAGUCAGAGGUGAAAAGUAUGGGCUCAACCCAUAGGCUGCAUUUGAAACUGUAUUUCUUGAGUGCUGGAGAGGCAAUCGGAAUUCCGUGUGUAGCGGUGAAAUGCGUAGAUAUACGGAGGAACACCAGUGGCGAAGGCGGAUUGCUGGACAGUAACUGACGCUGAGGCGCGAAGGCGUGGGGAGCAAACAGGAUUAGAUACCCGGGUAGUC
rnacentral:rRNA from 1 species